GCGGCGGCGAUUGGCUGGAGGAGCAGCGGCGGCGGCGAUUGGCUGUAGGAGAAGCGGCGGCGGCGAUUGGGUGGCGGAGGCAGGUCUGAGGUGAGGAACUGAGGAUAUGGGUGGGUGUGGUGGUUUAUGAGUUUAUGAGUUUCUAACUUCUAAUUCAACAAAAGGUCUGAGGUGAGGAACUGAGGAUAAAGGGUUUACAUUUUUAAUUAAACAAAAGGAAUUAGUUUGAGCAAAAAAAUGAUUAAAAUUAAAAUAUAUUGGGCCCCACGGAAAAGAAGAACUGUAAAGG
rnacentral:lncRNA from 1 species